UUUUUUGUAAUAUGUGGAAGACGAGGGGCUUUUUCGCAAAACAACAUCCACUACCGCUAGCCGCUCGUUCUCCCUCUCCCGCGCCGUCGUCUCCGCUUUCCCCUCGCGCCGAGCGCCGCCGCAGCCGCAGCCGCCGCCGCCUCCCCAUCGCGCAGCCACGUCUGCCUGGCACCGUCCCCAUCGCCGGCCGCCUCCGCCUCCGACUCCCCCUCGCGCCGCCUCCACCUCCUCCGCCAUCGCCGUCGCCGUCGCCGUCGCCUCGCUGCGUCUCCGGGCGCCUCCGCCUCCGUCUCCCUCCUCGCGUCAUCGCCGUCGCCGUCGCCUCCCCAUCGCGCAGCCACCUCCUCCUAGCGCCGUCCCCAUCGCCGGCCACCUCCUCCUCCGCCGCCGCCGUCGCCUCGCCGUCUCCGUCUCCCCCCUCGCGUCGUCGCCGUCGCCGUCGCCAAGCGAAGCAGUCUCUGCCACCGCCACCGCCACCGCCGUGCCCGUCGCCGCGCGUCUCCGCUGUGUCCUUCGUCGCCAUCGCCAACGGCCGCAACUCUGCCCUCCGUUGCCGUCGAAGAAACGGCGAUGGUCACAGAGCCGACGACGGUGGCUGCGCGAUGGGGAGGCGGAGGCGGUACAGAUACAAUGGAACUUUUGGCUGCUUGCUGCUCGUCACUUCUCCCUCAGGUCGUCGUCUUCGUUUAUCCCCAUGUAUUUUGUCUUGUCCAUCGCCUCUGCAGGGAAGAAGAACAUGAGGUGCUAAUCACUGCUGUUCUAGGUGCUAAUCCGUCAAGGAGCUCAGAUCUGUGGAUCCUAGACUAGAGGGUUAGGGUUGGUCAGGUGGUAUAGUAUCCCAUUACAACAUGCUCUUUCAUAUGCUUGUUGAUUCAUCGAUGAUCUCAACUCCCAAGUGGGGAAUUUUUGUCUACAAAUUAAUUUUGAUUUGGAUGCGCUUUUCCGUUUGUUAUUCUGCGUGCAAAACUUGUUAUGAUGAAAACUACUAUCUUUAGGCAAUAAUAACGGAGGUCUCUCCUUGGGAAAGAGAGCUGCGUGAGCAGUUUGCCGCUUGCUUACACUAAGCAAAAGAUCCACUGAGCAUUGAAAAUUUUGUUUACAUGCUGCCAGGCUGCUGGAAUCGUGGAAGCUGUGCGGAGGAUCUACUCAGAUGUUGAUCGAAAUGGUGCUGGAUUUGGGAGCUGUUGUUCUCAAUUGCCGGGCUGAUCACUGGAGGUGUGAUUCUGCUUGUCAGUUGAGGGAAGAAUUCACACACUUGUGUUCACUGAGGACAUCUUCUCAACCUAUUGCUUCCACCGAUCAUCUUUAAUGCUAGAUAAUCAAGAACCAUGAUGCCAAUAGUCCACUACUAUGCUUUACUGCUUUCAGAUUAAUGAAGAUAUCAGUUGCAGAGAGGGCUAUUGUGGUUCCUCAGCCAUGGCAAUGUGAGUAUAUAUAUGUAUACAGCUCUCAUAUGAACAGCAUUUUCUAUCUCCGUUUGUGCAUAUGUUGGAUUGGUGAAUGAAGAUACCAUGUUCGGCCAGACCUGUGUUGGUCUCAGAGCAGUGGUUUCUCUGAGAUGGUAAAGGGAUUCCAAUUGUUUUUUAGACACCAAAAUGAUUGCAUUAAGUUGUCAUCUUUUGUAGAUAUUAGUUAUGCAUUUUUUUUUUAGCUUCUCGGAUUUAUCUGACUGUUAAACAAAUAAAUUGAUGUGCACAUCUUAUGUUCUUCUCAUUGAGGUGUUACUUACGCAGACUCUGGUUAAAUUUUAACAAGCAUGGAUGAAGAACCAAAUCCUGCAAAGGAGCUUGUUGGCUGAAAUGCCAAGUUAGAUAUGAUUAUAACUUGAAAGAGUAGCUGUCUUAAUUAAUCAAGAAACAUGUGAGCUAUGAUUUUCCUCUUUUAGUACAGGUAUUUCUUGUCAUGGUUUUUGUGAAGAAAAAAAAUCUUUUGACAAGUAUGCAGGCCAAUAAAACCAGGUAAUAUCAUGGAACAGAAGUAGAUUGUAUUGAUAGAGGUGCAAAUCGUUUAAUUCUUUGUUUUGCAAGAAUCUUUACUGUACAGAGUUUCUCUUUCUGCUGUUAUCAGCGGUGCGUGGCACAUGACAUAUUUAUGGCAACUUAACAUCGAUGCUGCGCCUUUGCAGAUGGUAGAGACCAGUUUCUCUGUGGACUAUUUGCAGGCAGAAUGAAAAAUGUGUGAUACAGAUGAUGGAGAAGGAGCUGAUGAGUGAAAUCAAGGUCAUGGAUAUGGUAUGGAACUGCAAGUUUUUUGGAACACCGUUGUUGUUCAUGGACAUAAUGGUCAUAGAUGACUGCUCAAGUAAUUGAUCAAGACCUUGGUUUUUGUUCCCCCGCCUGGUUAGGAUUCCGCAUUGGGUGCUUGCCAGGGAAUUUGAUUUUGACAUGCUUUUCUCAAGGUGCAUUUGUUGAUCCAAGGAAACACCGUGAGGUAUGCGGUGAUUGUAGUUCAUGUAACUGGGAUUGUCUGCCAGUUGAUUAGUAUUUGAAUCGCUAUGGUUGAUCAAAAUAUGUAAACAUAGAUCUUACAGAUAUGAAAAUUUUCCUUGGCUGUAGCAUCGGCUGAAUAAUCGCUGUUAUGAAAUGUGCAUGAUUUGUUGACCUGUAAUUAGUACUGCAGUUUGCUUAUCUGUAACCAUCUACUUUCUUCUUUUUUUUCAAUAACUUCCUUUUUCUUUGUUCCUUAA